AUUGAACGCUGGCGGCAGGCCUAACACAUGCAAGUCGAACGAGUGGCGGACGGGUGAGUAAUGUAUGGGAAACUGCCUGAUGGAGGGGGAUAACUACUGGAAACGGUCGCUAAUACCGCAUACUAUCGGAUGUGCCCAUAUGGGAUUAGCUAGUUUGUGGGGUACGGGCUCACCAAGGCGACGAUCACUAGCUGGUCUGAGAGGAUGAUCAGUCACAAGGGAACUGAGACACGGUCCAGACUCCUACGGUAGGCAGAAGUGGUGAAUAUUGCACAAUGGGCGCAAGCCUGAUCAAGCCAUGCCGCGUGGAUGAAGAAGGUCUUCGGGUUGUAAAGUACUUGCAGCGGGGAGGCGUUACCCGCAGAAGAAGCACCGGCUAACUCCGUGCCAGCAGCCGCGGUAAUUC
rnacentral:rRNA from 1 species